CGGCAACAGCUCAAAUUUGAAAUCUGGCUCUUUCAGGGUCCGAGUUGUAAUUUGUAGAAGAUGCUUCGGGUGUGGCUCCGGUCUAAGUUCCUUGGAACAGGACGUCAUAGAGGGUGAGAGCCCCGUCUGGCUGGCCACCGAGCCUCUGUAAAGCUCCUUCGAC
rnacentral:rRNA from 1 species